rnacentral:lncRNA from 1 species
AGAUAUACUAAAAGGAUUGGAGGUGCGGGUUUUUUUAGAUGGAAGUGUAUGUGUAAGUGUCUCAUCUUAACCAUAUUUAGCUUCUGGGUGGCUUGCCAUUAAAUCUUAUGUUAACCAUAUUUAUCUUAGUGAACUAAAAAAUAACGAGGGUGUACUUAGAAUAUUUACUAUAACUACAUAUCAUGGCUACUUUAUGUAUUGUUAGUAUAAUGUACAUGACCAUGUUUUUAACUUGGUGAUAGUUGUCUAGUCGGUUCGUACAAUGGUAUGGUAUGCAUCUUCCCACACUUUGAUGAACUGUAAUCAUCAAUCCUUUGACUACAGAAUUUAAGAAAGUGCUGAAUCCCCUAGUUCUAGAAACAGACUCCUCAUGUUGGGCUUUGGUUAUGAUUCUUUAAUGU